rnacentral:rRNA from 1 species
GACGAACGCUGGCGGCGUGCCUAACACAUGCAAGUCAACGAGAAAGGGGUAGCAAUAUCCUGAGUAAAGUGGCGCAUGGGUGAGUAACACGUAGGUAAUCUGCCAUCAGGACGGGGACAACCACGCGAAAGCGUAGCUAAUACCCGAUGAAUCAGCGAUGCCGCAUGGCAUUGCUGUUAAAUGCCGCAAGGUGCCCGAUGAUGAACCUGCGCCCAUUAGGUAGUUGGUGAGGUAACGGCUCACCAAGCCGACGAUGGGUAGCUGGUCUGAGAGGAUGAUCAGCCACACUGGAACUGAGACACGGUCCAGACUCCUACGGGAGGCAAGCAGUGAGGAAUAUUGCGCAAUGGCCGAAAGGCUGACGCAGCGACG